CUUCGGCCCGGGACGGACCAUCGGCCGCCCUGUCGGGGGAGUCCGGACGCACAAAGUUUCCAAAAAGUUCUGCCAGUCGCUGCCGCACCCCACUCGGGGCAGAGCUUAACUUAGCAAAGCAUGGCUCUUCUUCCUGAAUGGACCCAAGCAGACUGUUGCUUGACUUAUUACUGAAGCUGCACAUCACCCAGAAGCAAGAAUUCAUCACUAAAGGGAGCGCCACAUACUUCAAGAAGUAGUUAAACCUGCCUUACCCUCCUCCAACCCUCCAGCACUUGUCAGGUGCUCUGCCUAGUGCCUAGCUCAGAGGAUGCUAAGUGGAGCAACACAAUGGACAGACUUAUUGACAGUAGCACAGUGUGAUGAGAAUGGUAAGAAGAAGAGAUAUUUAGGAAGACAGAUCUUCAAAUAUGUGGCGCUUUGGGAGUCAUGAUGAUGAGUGUGCAGUAUGUGAACCAGGUAAUAGGAGAGCUUGAAAGAUUUUUGAAAAAGAAAAACCACUGAGCUGUAUGUAUGGAUCAGAGAACUGGGAAAAGAGUAAGGAGUUCACUUAGAAGUACUAUAUGAAGCCACUCAUGUAAGAGCAGGCAUGGGAAAUCUUUAAGUGGAAUACUAUACAUUUCCAAGGAUAUCAGGAGAAUCCUCUGUAUGUAACCAUUCACUUUUCCCAAUAAUCGUCCUGUCAUGGAAAACACAUUCAUGCUUCUGGUAAUUUGAGUUGAGAAUGGCCCCCAUAGGCUCAUAUGUUUUUGGGUAAUUGAUCCGUGGCUGGUAAAUGUAUAGGAAGGAUUAGGAGGUAUUGGAGGAGGUGUGUGACUGGAGGUGAGCUUUGAGGUUUCAAAAGCCCAUACCAUUCCCAGUUAAUUUUCUCUGCCUCGUGCUUGUGAUAAAUUAAAGGGAUCUGCAACCCUAUAGGUGGAACAACAAUAUGAACUACCCAGUACUCCCCGGAGCUUGUGUCUCUAACUGCAUAUGUAAUAGAAGAUGGCCUAGUCGGCCAUCAGUGGAAAGAGAGGCCCAUUGGUCAUGCAAACUUUAUCUGCCUCAGUACAGGGGAACACCAGGGCCAAGAAGUGGGAGUGGGUGGGUGGGGGAGCGUGUGGGGGACUUUUGGGAUAGCAUUGGAAAUGUAAAUGAAAUAAAUACCUAAUUAAAAAAAAAAGAUUUAAGCCCUGCAUCUGUUGCCUGCCUGAGGAUCAAGUUCCCUAAACUGGGCCACCUUGUCUGGCCUCAGUGGGAAAGGAUCCACCUAGUCUGCAGUGACUGGAUGUGCCAGGGUGGGGUGAUACCUAGCGGGGAGGCUUCCCUUUCUCAGAUGAGAAGGGGAGGGGAAACUGAGGGGAGGAGCUGUGUGAGGGCGCAUGUGGAAGAGAGGGGCUGAUAUUGGGAUAAAUUGUAUUAGUAAAUACAUUAAUGGAAAAAAUGUAAGCCCUUACCUAACUGCUCCAGUGUCAUGCUUGCCUGCCUGUCACCAGCUCUCUGUCAUGAGUGUUAUGAACUCUAACCAUCUUGACUGAGCCCUAGGCUGAACUUUUCCUUUUGUAAGUUUCCCUCUUUAUGGUGUCUUAUCACAGCAACAGAAAAGUCACUAAGACAGGACUCACAUCCCAGAUGCUUAAUUCUGCUAACCAUAAACCCCACAAUCAAUGGUGCUUUUGAUAUGGUUUCUAUUAUUACUGACUGUCAUAGAGUCUGGAUUAUCUCUUAGAAAUCAAGAAAUAAGUAAGCUAAACUCCCCGAUGGAAAUGGAAGAUCUAAAUAUCAAUAGGAUGUUUCUAGGCUGCAAGAAAGCAACAGAAGAAAAUACUAGGAUCGUCUGCGAGCAUUGUCAUUAUUGCCAUAUUUCCACAUUGGUGGUAGCGGCAUCACCAACCUACCACCCUGAUUCAAGAAUAGUAAAUCAAACAUCACUGCAGAGAAUCACAAGCCCAGCAGAUCCUCAUUAGCCACAGUAAUGCAGGCUUUUCUUACAGCAGCAGCCUUGAGCUUUUACAGUCCCGUAAAGUCAUAUUGUUGCAGAGUACCAACAUAAGAUGGGGAGUCUGAAAGGCAAAAACACUGAAGUAUCAUUCAUUAAUCGUGUUAGGUAUUGGUGCUUGCCUAUGGAAUGGGUCUCAAGUUUGGCCAGUUAUUGGUUGGCCAUUCCCUCUGUCUCUUAUCCAUCCCCCAUGCCUGCAUUUCUUGUAGACAGGAUAUAGUUUGGGUUGAAAAUUUUGUGGGUGGGUUGGUGUUCUGAUUGCUCCAUUGGGGUUCCUGCCUGGCUACAGGGAGUGGUCUCUUCAGGUUCCAUAUCCCCAAAGUUGUGAGUCACAGUUAAGGUCAACCCCAUUAAUUUUUGGGUACCUCCCUUUUCUUAGGUCUCUGUCUCAUACUGGAGAUACUUCCCACUUCCUCACUCCUGUCAGUUGUACAGUUUUAGACUGUACAUGUAGUUGUGCAUGUUGUCCUCUGAGAGGCUCCACCUACGUGCUGACUCAGACAGAUACAAGUACCCACAGCCAAACAGUGGAGGGAGCUUGGGAAGUCUUAAGGAAGAAUAGGAGGAAGGAUUGCAGACCUAUAAAGGGAUAGGAACUCCACAGGAAGACCAACACAGUCAACUAACCUGGACCCUUGGGGCUCUCAGAGUCUGAACCACUAACCAAAGAACAUAGGCUAGAUCAAGGUCUCCUUGCAUAUAUGGAGCAGCUUGGUCUUCAUGUGGGUCCUAAACAACUGGAACGGGGUUGGGGGGGGGCUAUCACCAAAGCUGUUGCCUGUAUGUGGGAUAUGUUCUAGCUGGGCUGCCUUUUCUAGCCUCAGUGGAAGAGAAAGCACCUAGUCUCACAGAGACUAAGUAAAACUAAGGAAAAUGAGGAGAGCUAUAUAGAAUCUAUAAAUUAAACAGCUUACAGCAAAUCCAAUUUAUUUUCCAUUAUAAGUAAUCAUUAAUUAGAGCACACCUAGUGGACAAUUGGGUAUAGGGGAUGUUCAGAUCAGAGUGCUCUUCCAGACAUCCACUCUGAUGUGAUUCUGUACUCCUCCACUCUGGCUUCUUAUACUGGUCUUUCUUCCUGUGGUACUGUAGAUGAAAAUGGUCACCAGACGUUCAUAGGAAAUGGCAUUGUUUGAAAGGAUUAGGACCUGUGGCCUUGUUGGAAUAGGUUCAGUUUUAUUGGAGGAAGUAUGUCACUGGUGUGGGCUUUGAGGUUUCAGAAAGUCAAAACGAGCUCACUCUCUCUUCCUGAUGCCUGUCCAUCUGGAUGUAGAACUCUCAGUUACCUCUCCAGCACCAUGUCUGCCUGCUUGCAACCAUGCCUCCUUCCAUGAUGAUAAUGAACUAAACCUCUGAACUAUAAGCCAGCCCCAAUUGAAUUUUUUCCUUUAGAAGAGUUGUCAUGGUCAUGGUGUUUCUACACACAAUAGAAACCCUAACUAUGAACCAUUCCAUUUUUUGAAAAAAGCAAAUUCACUUAUGCUCCAAGGUCUUUCUCCAAGGCCUUUCUCAACACCAACUUUGUUCUUCCGUGAUAUCCUUUCAUGAAGCCUUCUUUUUAUCAUGAAUUACAACUCUAAUGAUACCUUCUAGGAGAUGCCCCAAAUUGUAAUUAUCCAAACUAAUUACACCACUGCCUACCUACUGCCUUGGGCAAUCACAUUACUCUAUUAUUUUCUUCUCAGCAUUUCUUAUCUAAACAUUCUAUUAUCUUUUUACUUGCUUGUUGAUAUAAAGACCACCACUAAGCUCUCUUGACUGGGACCUGGAAUGUAGCAGUGUGUCACUAAGCUGGAUCUGACCAUUAGGCUUUGGAUGACAGUGGGGGAAGUCCAGAGUGGCCUACAGAGAUGGGGUAAAUGAUUAGCUGAAAAUCUGAUUUUCCAAAGACUCGAGGAAUUGCCAGGAAGUGCACACAGGAUAUAAAUCAUUCCAAUCAGGCUCAGGAUAAAUGACUUUACAUACUAUUGAGUGUUGGAAGCUACAAUUUUCCUAAUACAUUAACAAACAUAAAAAAAUGUAGAAUGGAAUUUAUUGUUCUGGUAUGCUAGUAUCCUGUAGGCUGAAUCCUGUGAAAUUCAUUUGGGAAACCUGAUCUUCACAAUGGUCUAUAUGAUGCCUUUGGUAAGAUGAUAUUCUACCACAAGUUAAUUUCCAUAGUGCUUCUAGUAACUGAUUUUCCUGGAAUGUCAACUCAAAACAUUUGAAUCAAAAAUUAAAAAUCUCUCUUAAUUGGUUCUACCCUGUAAGGCAGAGUUGUGGGGGAGAAAACAUGUGUUUGUCUUUGUUCCCUUCUUUCAGGAAUGGCUUCUUCAGUGUGUCCUUUAGCUCCCAGUGGCUGCCUCUCGCCCUAGAUUCCAAACUCGGUGUUACCAGUAUGCAGUCUCAUUGCUUCCUUAUGGCAGGACACAGAGUAAUUAAAUACAUGUUUUCAUAUUAUAUUUCCUUAUUAUAUUCUACUUUUUUUUUUACCACAGUGUACAUUAUUUUUAUCUUUACUAGAUCAAAAAAGUCAUACCUUCUUUAAAAAUAAAAUGUGAUGGUGACAGACCUUCCUUGUAUGUGACUGUUCUCUGUUAGUCAAUUGACACUGGAGUUUUCCAUUUAACUGCAAUGAAUGCAUAUGGAAAAGAGUCCUGGAGUCUGAGGAAACGUAGCUUAGUGGUUGAGCCUCUGACUUGCACAUGCUUUUAUUACCAUCAGUGGAAAAUAAUCUGACUGUUUUCCUUCUGGGUCACUAGAGAAUCACCACCUUCCUGAAUGAUCUAGUCACUAUCCGGACUGGGAAGUUUAUGGUCAACCAUCUACUUCAAAGAAAACAAAAAGUCACUGACGUCCUUAACCUUUGAAGCAAUAGUACCCAAGACAGAAAAGCUGUGGGGCAGUGGACUGUGAAUGGUAGCCUGGUCCUUGCUUGAGCUAAAAGGCUUUGAAGCACUGAGACCCUGAAGGGACGGUAGGAGCCUUGUCUGUUCUCAGGCACCAGGCCCAUGUCAUAUAGCCACAGCACCCCAUAGAUUUGUGGCCAUCUGCCAUGUAAGGGCAAUACCCCAAGCCCUUCCAUGUGUAAAUGAGGCAUCCCUGAAAUCGCAAACCAAGACAAUAGGAAAAGAGGCAUGACUACAGGUCAUGUAGGCUCAAGAAAGAGAUCUCCAUGCUAAUGAGGUACCUAGAGGCGUGGAGGGCAUAGCCAAUAAGCUUUCCUUCCCAGACACUCCUCCCUGCAAAAGGUAGUUAAUCUCAGGCCCACUCUGAGAAGUGGGGUAUGGUUUUAAACAUUCACUUUCCACAAUGGCAAUAAAUGGUUUGGAACCACAGACUGUCUCUUUUCAUGGAGAUCUGCCUUGAGGAGCCAUGGAGAAGGCCUUUGCCAAUAGCGCUGCCAUCUAGUCUCCUGUAGAGGGCCUCUCUGAAAUCCCAGCCAUGAUCACCACCAAGUAAAGCCAAGGACUCUCCCUAUGCCUGUGGGGGGAGGGGGAACCACUCUGUUUUCAGCUCUUCUUGCCUUAAUAUGAGCGGAAGUGCCUAGUCUUACUGCAACUUGAUAUACCAUGUAUGAAUUCCACAGGAGUCGUGCCCCUUUCUGAAGAGAAAUGGAGAGAAAGUAAAUGGAGGGGGCUGGAAGGAUAGGGGCAACUGGUAGAGGUAUGAUAUGUGAGAAGAAAAAAAUAGUCUAGAAUAAAAUAAAAUCCAAACAAAUCUUGUGUUUUAUAGUCACUAUAGCAAAAGUAUUAAUUCCCAGCAGUAAUAUCUUAAAGGAUGAUUGAAGUACCAUGUUUUAAAGGUACAAUAAUAUUAUUUGUUUUAGUCAUAUUUUAUGUUUUUGAAACCACGAAAUUCAUUAAAAUGAAAAGUAAACAUUAUAGAAUAUACACACAAACAAACCCUAACCAGGUUACUAUGGUUGUAGGGUUUUUAAGGACCAAGGAAUUUGUUUUCCUGUUUAUACACCUCUGUUCUUUUCUGAGAUUCAUUUUUCAAUAGACAGUUGUAAGAUGCAACUCUUAGAUGCUGGCAAGGAUGUGGAGAAAGAGGAA